GGGCCAACUUCAAGGAUGACGUUUGGUCCAGGCCCAGCGGCGAUGGCGGCAUCAGCAGGGUUCUCCAGGACGGAGCCAUUUGGGAGAAGGCUGGAGUUAAUGUCUCCGUUGUUUACGACAUCAUGCCGCCAGAAGCUUACCGCGCUGCAAAAGCUGCCGCUUCUCCUGACCAGAAGCCUGGUCCUAUUCCGUUCUUCGCCGCUGGAAUCAGCUCCGUUUUGCAUCCGAAGAACCCAUUUGGCCCAACCUUGCAGAUUAUGAUUUUCCAUCCUUAUUUCGGAGCUGUUUCUCAUACCAUUAUUGCUACUGUUGUCUGCCAAUGACUUAUACUCAGGUUGGGGAAGCAAAUAUUCAAGAAAGGCUAGAUAGAGCAGUGGCAAUAAUAAAUUGGAAGGAAGCAUUCCUAGAAAGAGUGGUAAAGUAUUUUCAAAGAUACAGAUCAGACCAUUGUCCAAUCCUAAUCAAUGUUCAUGGGGAGAGCUUAAAAAGGAAGAGGCCAUA